AGUGAACGCUGGCGGUAGGCCUAACACAUGCAAGUCGAACGGCAGCACAGUAAGAGCUUGCUCUUACGGGUGGCGAGUGGCGGACGGGUGAGGAAUACAUCGGAAUCUACUUUUUCGUGGGGGAUAACGUAGGGAAACUUACGCUAAUACCGCAUACGACCUACGGGUGAAAGCAGGGGAUCUUCGGACCUUGCGCGAUUGAAUGAGCCGAUGUCGGAUUAGCUAGUUGGCGGGGUAAAGGCCCACCAAGGCGACGAUCCGUAGCUGGUCUGAGAGGAUGAUGAGCGACAAGUGAACUGAGAAGCGGUGGAGGCGCCGGCGGGAGGCAGCAGUGGGGAGUGGUGGAGCAGGGGGGCAAGCCUGAUCCAGCAAUACGGCGUGGGUGAAGAGGGCCUUCGGGUUGUAGAGCCGGUUGGUUGGGAAAGAAAAGAAGCAGGUCAGUAAACGUCGGGCCUGACGGUGCACAAAUAAUAAGAACGGGCUACUUCGUUG
rnacentral:rRNA from 1 species